rnacentral:lncRNA from 1 species
GUUUCUUGAUAGAGAUUUUAAUGUCCCAUUUUAUAGUGAAGCAUAUCUUUUAAUUAUAAAUUUCAAAUAAUGAUUUUGUUGUUUACUUAUAUAUCUUCUUAUCAAGAAGAAUGUUUCCACUUUAUCUUGUCCAAAACGUGGUCAAGUUACUGAAUCAUAUUAUGACACUUGGUUAAAUGUGUUGAUACCAAGUAUGUAAAAUGAAAAGUAUGUUCUCUAUAUCAUAUUGAGUUAAAUGCUCAUAGCAAUACCAAAUAUAUAUGUUAAAUGUUGCUAAGAUUUGUCAUUGAGAGUUUCACAUUAUCUUAGGUGUUGUUGGGAAUGAAUAGAUAUUAUU